GACGAACGCUGGCGGCGUGCCUAAUACAUGCAAGUCGAACGAGAGCGACCGGUGCUUGCUCUGGUCAAUCUAGUGGCGAACGGGUGGGUAACACGUGGGUAACCUGCCCAUCAGAGGGGGAUAACAUUCGGAAACGGAUGCUAAAACCGCAUAGGUCUUCGAACCGCAUGGUUCGAAGGGGAAAAGAGGCGCAAGCUUCUGCUGAUGGAGGGACCGGCGGUGCAUUAGCUAGUUGGUGAGGUAACGGCUCACCAAGGCCGUGAUGCUUAGCCGACCUGAGAGGGUGAUCGGCCACACUGGGACUGAGACACGGCCCAAACUCCUACGGGAGGCAGCAGUAGGGAAUCUUCCGCAAUGGACGCAAGUCUGACGGAGCAACGCCGCGUGAGUGAAGAAGGUUUUCGGAUCGUAAAACUCUGUUGUUAGGGAAGAAUAAGUGCUAGAGUAACUGUUAGCGCCUUGACGGUAUCUAACCAGAAAGCCACGGCUAACUACGUG
rnacentral:rRNA from 1 species